GACGAACGCUGGCGGCGUGCUUAACACAUGCAAGUCGAACGAGAGCGUAGAGAAAGCUUGCUUUUUCUACAAUCUAGUGGCAAACGGGUGAGUAACGCGUAAACAACCUGCCCUACGGAUGGGGACAACAGCUGGAAACGGCUGCUAAUACCGAAUACGUUCCGAAAGUCGCAUGACUAUCGGAAGAAAGUAUGGCCUCUAUUUAUAAGCUAUCGCCGGUGGAGGGGUUUGCGGCUGAUUAGCUAGUUGGAGGGGUAACGGCCCACCAAGGCGACGAUCAGUAGCCUGGCUGAGAGGAUGAACGGCCACAAUGGAAAUGAGACACGGUCCAGACCUCUACGGGGGGCAGCAGUGGGGAAUCUUCCGACAUGGGCGAAAGCCUGACGGAGCAACGCCGCGGGAGUGAAGAAGGCCUUCGGGUUGGAAAGCUCUGUUAUACGGGACGAAUAAUCUUGUGGUUAAUACCCAUGAGAAGUGACGGUACCGUAAGAGAAAGCCACGGCUAACUACGUG
rnacentral:rRNA from 1 species